rnacentral:rRNA from 1 species
CAGGGAAUCUUCGGCAAUGGACGAAAGUCUGACCGAGCAACGCCGCGUGAGUGAAGAAGGUUUUUCGGGAUCGUAAAACUCUGUUGGUAGAGAAGAACGUUGGUGAGAGUGGAAAGCUCAUCAAGUGACGGUAACUACCCAGAAAGGGACGGCUAACUACGUGCCGG